GGAGUUAGGAAAUGUAGAUACGCUAAUAUCGUAUCUAUUUGACAAAGGCUCCAAAGGAAGCCACGGCUAACUCUGUGCCAGCAGCCGCGGUAAUACAGAGGUGGCAAGCGUUGUUCGGAGUUAUUGGGCGUAAAGAGCACGUAGGUGGAUUUGUAAGUCAGAUGUGAAAGCCUUCUGUUCAACGGAAGAAUUGCAUCUGAAACUACAAACCUUGAGUAUAGGAGGGGAGAGUGGAACUUCUG
rnacentral:rRNA from 1 species